GUCCGGAUUUUUUAUGAAACUAUCCGCACACGCGUCCCUUUGAUUUUGUGUAUUGGCUCAAAUGUAUCGUAGGGGAUUUGUGGGUUUAGUCCCCCAACGGCUGAACCAAGCUCCCUCAAAUCAAGUCUUCUUCGAAUAAAUACUAAUAAUACUGCGUAAUCAUUAUAAUGCGGGAUUAAGCCUCCCCCAACCAAAAACAAAAAAAAAAAAUAAAUAAAAAUAUUUAUCCGUUUGCGGUUAUGGUGUUUGAUCUUCAAAAACCGUUACUUUCCCAGCCAUGAGGACCUGUGUACGCGUAUGCGCCUUACUGUUG